rnacentral:tRNA from 1 species
GGCUUGUUGGUCUAGGGGUGUGGUUCUUGCUUAGGGAGCAAGAGGUCCUGGGUUCAAGUCCCGGGUGAGCCC